rnacentral:sRNA from 1 species
AAGCUGCCCAUGCGGGACUGUUAGAGCCCGGGUAGUCGUCAAUGUUAACUUGCAUCUGCUCUGCAACCAUUCUGCCCAGCUUCUUCAGGAGAGUAUUAACCUGUCUUCCAUCGCGGAUAACGUUUUCAAACGUAGACUUCAUUAGUCUUGCGUAGUGGAAUUGAGAUGUGAAUUCUUCAAAGGUUGGAGCCAUGAAUGGCCGGGUUGGGUUGCGAGUAGUACCGAAUUCGUUGUAAGCUGCAACUUGUGCAACUGGUAGGUUUCCAUUUUCAGAACCAUAU